rnacentral:rRNA from 1 species
GCGCGAAACCUCUGCAAUAGGCGAAAGCCUGACAGGGUUACUCUGAGUGACUUUCGCUAAGAAAGUCUUUUGACACCUCUAAAAAUGGUGUAGAAUAAGGGGUGGGCAAGUCUGGUGUCAGCCGCCGCGGUAAUACCAGCACCCCGAGUGGUCGGGACGAUUAUUGGGCCUAAAGCAUCCGUAGCCGGUUUUACAAGUCCUCCGUUAAAUCCAACUGCUUAACAGAUGGGCCGCGGAGGAUACUAUAAGACUAGGAGGCAGGAGAGGCAAGCGGUACUCAGUGGGUAGGGGUAAAAUCCGUUGAUCCAUUGAAGACCACCAGUGGCGAAGGCGGCUUGCCAGAAUGCGCUCGACGGUGAGGGAUGAAAGCUGGGGGAGCAAACCGGAUUAGAUACCCGGGUAGUCCCAGCUGUAAACGAUGCAGACUCGGUGAUGGACUAGCUUCAUGCUAGUCCAGUGCCGCAGGGAA